ensembl:snRNA U1 U1 spliceosomal RNA
GUACUUACCUGUCAGGGGAGACACCAUGAUCAGGCAGGUGACUUUCCCAGGGUGAGGCUCAUCCCAUGCACUCCGGUUGUGCUGACCCCUGCAAUUUCGCCAAAUGUGGGAAACCCAACUGCAUAAUUUGUGGUAGUGGGGUACUGCGUUUGCGCUAUUUUUAU